rnacentral:rRNA from 1 species
UACGGAGGGGGCUAGCGUUGUUCGGAAUUACUGGGCGUAAAGCGCACGUAGGCGGCUAUUCAAGUCAGAGGUGAAAGCCCGGGGCUCAACCCCGGAACUGCCUUUGAAACUAGAUGGCUAGAAUCUUGGAGAGGCGAGUGGAAUUCCGAGUGUAGAGGUGAAAUUCGUAGAUAUUCGGAAGAACACCAGUGGCGAAGGCGACUCGCUGGACAAGUAUUGACGCUGAGGUGCGAAAGCGUGUGGAGCAAACAGG